rnacentral:misc_RNA from 1 species
GGAAGUAAAAGUGUAACAAGGUUUCCGUAGGUGAACCUGCGGAAGGAUCAUUACAGAGUUCAUGCCCUCACGGGUAGAUCUCCCACCCUUGAAUAUUUAUACCUUAGUUGCUUUGGCAGGCCGUGGAAACACCAUGGGCUCCGGCUUAUGCGUGCCUGCCAGAGGAAACAAACUCUGUUUUUAGUGAUGUCUGAGUACUAUAUAAUAGUUAAAACUUUCAACAACGGAUCUCUUGGUUCUG